rnacentral:misc_RNA from 1 species
GAUGAAGAACGUAGCGAAAUGCGAUAAGUAAUGUGAAUUGCAGAAUUCAGUGAAUCAUCGAAUCUUUGAACGCACAUUGCGCCCGCCAGUAUUCUGGCGGGCAUGCCUGUUCGAGCGUCAUUACAACCAUCAGGCCCCCGGGCCUGGCGUUGGGGAUCGGCGGAGCCCCCCGUGGGCACACGCCGUCCCCCAAAUACAGUGGCGGUCCCGCCGCAGCUUCCAUCGCGUAGUAGCUAACACCUCGCGACUGGAGAGCGGCGCGGCCACGCCGUAAAACACCCAACUCUUCUGAAGUUGACCUCGAAUCAGGUAGGAAUACCCGCUGAACUUAAGCAUAUCAAUAAGCGGAGGA